CCGUACGCUGGGCUGUAAUUUAUGAAACUGAUCCCCGGAUCCAGCCAAUCACUUAGCUCCUCAUAACAAGUCUAACUGGCUCUGGAAAGCAGAAAGGGCUGCACUAGAGCAACAAGGAUGAGAUAUUCCACACAACAACCUGCUUAUCUGGAAUCACUUUCCCUUGCAAGGCCAGAGAAAAAUCCCAGCUUCAUUGUCUGAGAGAAGCAGGACAGAGGAGCUGCAGAAAUGCGACUUCACCUGGAGUCU
rfam:Vicugna pacos cont1.161448, whole genome shotgun sequence.